rnacentral:rRNA from 1 species
CUGAAGAUGGCGACCGGCGCACGGGUGAGUAACACGUAUCCAACCUGCCGAUAACUCCGGAAUAGCCUUUCGAAAGAAAGAUUAAUACCGGAUGGCAUACGAAUAUCGCAUGAUAUUUUUAUUAAAGAAUUUCGGUUAUCGAUGGGGAUGCGUUCCAUUAGUUUGUUGGCGGGGUAACGGCCCACCAAGACUACGAUGGAUAGGGGUUCUGAGAGGAAGGUCCCCCACAUUGGAACUGAGACACGGUCCAA